rnacentral:rRNA from 1 species
UAGCGUAGGUGGCAAGCGUUGUCCGGAUUUACUGGGCGUAAAGGGCGUGCAGGCGGUUUUUAAGUCUAGGGUGAAAGCUCCCGGCUCAACUGGGAGAGGUCCUUGGAUACUGGAGAACUUGAGGGAUGCAGAGGAAAGUGGAAUUCCCGGUGUAGUGGUGAUAUGCGUAGAUAUCGGGAGGAACACCAGUGGCGAAGGCGGCUUUCUGGGCAUUCCUGACGCUGAGACGCGAAAGCGUGGGGAGCGAACCGG